UACGUAGGGACCAAGCGUUGUUCGGAUUUACUGGGCGUAAAGGGCGCGUAGGCGGCGUGACAAGUCACUUGUGAAAUCUCCGGGCUUAACUCGGAACGGUCAGAUGAUACUGCUUUGCUAGAGUGCGGAAGGGGCAAUCGGAAUUCUUGGUGUAGCGGUGAAAUGCGUAGAUAUCAAGAGGAACACCUGAGGUGAAGACGGGUUGCUGGGCCGACACUGACGCUGAGGCGCGAAAGCCAGGGGAGCAAACGGG
rnacentral:rRNA from 1 species